UACGUAGGGGGCAAGCGUUGUCCGGAUUUAUUGGGCGUUAAAGCGCGUGUAGGCGGCCAGGUAGGUCCGCUGUGAAAAACUCGAGGCCUCAACCUCGAGACGUCGGCGGAAACCAUCUGGCUAGAGUCCGGAAGAGGAGAGUGGAAUUCCUGGUGUAGCGGUGAAAUGCGCAGAUAUCAGGAAGAAUAUCCGUGGCGAAGGCGGCUCUCUGGGACGGUACUGACGCUGAGACGCGAAAGCGUGGGGAGCGAACAGG
rnacentral:rRNA from 1 species